UUUUUAUCGGUCUGGUGGUAUAUUAAACGGUCACUGUAGUGGUGGGGGUUUUCGUGGACUGCCUAUGAGAGGGGUACGGUAACCCAAUUAUAUAAUUACCUUCAGGGGGAGAUGUUGGAUGAAGUAUCUCCUGAGGUAAGAUUUGAGUGCACCUCACGUUCGGGCCACCACGUGAGAGUGAGACUCAGCCAACGCCAAGGAACGGCUGUGUGUCAAAUGUGAAAACA
rnacentral:lncRNA from 1 species